GAUGAACGCUGGCGGCGUGCCUAAUACAUGCAAGUCGAGCGAACAGAUAAGGAGCUUGCUCCUUUGACGUUAGCGGCGGACGGGUGAGUAACACGUGGAUAACCUACCUAUAAGACUGGGAUAACUUCGGGAAACCGGAGCUAAUACCGGAUAACAUAUUGAACCGCAUGGUUCAAUAGUGAAAGGCGGCUUUGCUGUCACUUAUAGAUGGAUCCGCGCCGUAUUAGCUAGUUGGUAAGGUAACGGCUUACCAAGGCAACGAUACGUAGCCGACCUGAGAGGGUGAUCGGCCACACUGGAACUGAGACACGGUCCAGACUCCUACGGGAGGCAGCAGUAGGGAAUCUUCCGCAAAGGGCGAAAGCCUGACGGAGCAACGCCGCGUGAGUGAUGAAGGUCUUCGGAUCGUAAAACUCUGUUAUCAGGGAAGAACAAAUGUGUAAGUAACUGUGCACAUCUUGACGGUACCUGAUCAGAAAGCCACGGCUAACUACGUG
rnacentral:rRNA from 1 species